rnacentral:rRNA from 1 species
UAAUACGUAGGGUGCGAGCGUUAAUCGGAAUUACUGGGCGUAAAGCGUGCGCAGGCGGUGAUGCAAGACAGAUGUGAAAGCCCCGGGCUUAACCUGGGAAUUGCAUUUGUGACUGCAUUGCUAGAGUGCGGCAGAGGGAGAUGGAAUUCCGCGUGUAGCAGUGAAAUGCGUAGAUAUGCGGAGGAACACCGAUGGCGAAGGCAGUCUCCUGGGCCUGCACUGACGCUCAUGCACGAAAGCGUGGGGAGCAAACAGGAUUAGAUACCCUGGUAGUCCACGCCCUAAACGAUGUCAACUAGUUGUUGGGAAGGUUCCUUCUCAGUAACGUAGCUAACGCAUGAAGUUGACCGCCUGGGGAGUACGGCCGCAAGGUUG